UCCGAGACUGGAGGUCGUGUCAUUUUU
rnacentral:sRNA from 1 species